rnacentral:rRNA from 1 species
AUGCUAGAGAGCUCUACAGGAGAGGGGGAGGAAUUCAUCAAUGAAGUUGCAACCAUUGGACUGAUCCACCAUGCAAAUAUCGUCCAUCUUUUGGGCUUUUGCUCCGAAGGAAUGAGACGGGCUCUUAUUUAUGAAUUCAUGCCUAACGAGUCACUGGAGAAAUACAUAUUCCCACAUGUUUCCAAUAUUUCUCGACAACUCAUAUCACAAAAAAAUGCUAGAUAUUGCUUUAGGAAUUGCCCGAGGGAUGGAAUACCUGCACCAAGGCUGCAACCAGCGCAUCCUCCACUUUGA